CAGCAGCCACGGUAAUACGUAGGGUGCGAGCGUUAAUCGGAAUUACUGGGCGUAAAGCGUGCGCAGGCGGUUUUGUAAGACAGGCGUGAAAUCCCCGGGCUCAACCUGGGAAUGGCGCUUGUGACUGCAAAGCUAGAGUGCGGCAGAGGGGGAUGGAAUUCCGCGUGUAGCAGUGAAAUGCGUAGAUAUGCGGAGGAACACCGAUGGCGAAGGCAAUCCCCUGGGCCUGCACUGACGCUCAUGCACGAAAGCGUGGGGAGCAAACAGGAUUAGAUACCCGUGUAGUCCCUGUCUCUUAUAC
rnacentral:rRNA from 1 species